GCAGCCUCUGCCCGGCCGCCACCCCGUCUGGGAAGUGAGGAGCAUCUCUGCCUGGCCGCCCAUCAUCUGGGAUGUGAGGAGCCCCUCUGCCUGGCUGCCCAGUCUGGAAAGUGAGGAGCGUCUCCGCCCGGCCGCCAUCCCACCUAGGAAGUGAGGAGCACCUCUGCCCGGCCGCCAUCACAUCUAGGAAGUGAGGAGCGUCUCUGCCCGGCCGCCCAUCAUCUGAGAUGUGGGGAGCGCCUCUGCCCCGCCGCCCCGUCUGGGAUGUGAGGAGCACCUCUGCCCGGCCGCAACCCCGUCUGGGAGGUGAGGAGCAUCUCUGCCCGGCAGCCGCCCCGUCUGGGAAGUGAGGAGCGUCUCCGCCCAGCAGCCACCCCGUCCGGGAGGGAGGUGGGGGGGGUCAGCCCCCUGCCAGGCCAGCCGCCCCAUCUGGGAGGGAGGUGGGGGGGUCAGCCCCCAUAAGCGCUAACUUAAGUUAGCGCUUAUGGGUCAGCCCCCCGCCCCACCAGCCACCCCGUCCGGGAGGGAGGUGGGGGGGUCAGCCCCCUGCCCGGCCAGCCGCCCCAUCCGGGAGGGAGGUAGGGGGGUCAGCCCCCCGCCCG
rnacentral:lncRNA from 1 species